rnacentral:rRNA from 1 species
AUUGAACGCUGGCGGCAUGCCUUACACAUGCAAGUCGAGCGGGGGAAGGUAGCUUGCUACCGGACCUAGCGGCGGACGGGUGAGUAAUGCUUAGGAAUCUGCCUAUAAGUGGGGGACAACAUCCCGAAAGGGAUGCUAAUACCGCAUACGUCCUACGGUCGAAAGCAGGGCAGCUUCGGACCUUGCGCUAAUAGAUGAGCCUAAGUUGGAUUAGCUAGUUGGUGGGGUAAAGGCCUACCAAGGCGAGGAUUUGUACCGGGUCUGAGAGGAUGAUCCGCCACACUGGGACUGAGACACGGCCAAGACUCCUACGGGAGGCAGCAGUGGGGAAUAUUGGACAAUGGGGGGAACCCUGAUCCAGCCAUGCCGCGUGUGUGAAGAAGGCCUUAUGGUUGUAAAGCACUUUAAGCGAGGAGGAGGCUACUCUAGUUAAUACCUAGGGAUAGUGGACGUUACUCGCAGAAUAAGCACCGGCUAACUCUGUGCCAGCAGCCGCCGUAA